rnacentral:rRNA from 1 species
GCGACGCCCAACACACAAAACAAGCGGUGAGUGCUUUGGGGUGGGGUGACUGCGUACCUUUUGUAUAAUGGGUCAGCGACUUAUAUUCUGUAGCAAGGUUAACCGAAUAGGGGAGCCGGAGGGAAACCGAGUCUUAAUUGGGCGUUAAGUUGCAGGGUAUAGACCCGAAACCCGGUGAUCUAGCCAUGGGCAGGUUGAAGGUUGGGUAACACUAACUGGAGGACCGAACCGACUAAUGUUGAAAAAUUAGCGGAUGACCUGUGGCUGGGGGUGAAAGGCCAAUCAAACCGGGAGAUAGCUGGUUCUCCCCGAAAGCUAUUUAGGUAGCGCCUCGUGAAUUCAUCUCCGGGGGUAGAGCACUGUUUCGGCUAGGGGGCCAUCCCGGCUUACCAACCCGAUGCAAACUGCGAAUACCGGAGAAUGUUAUCACGGGAGACACACGGCGGGUGCUAACGUCCGUCGUGAAGAGGGAAACAACCCAGACCGCCAGCUAAGGUCCCAAAGUCAUGGUUAAGUGGGAAACGAUGUGGGAAGGCCCAGACAGCCAGGAUGUUGGCUUAGAAGCAGCCAUCAUUUAAAGAAAGCGUAAUAGCUCACUGGUCGAGUCGGCCUGCGCGGAAGAUGUAACGGGGCUAAACCAU